UACGUAGGGUGCAAGCGUUGUCCGGAAUUAUUGGGCGUAAAGAGCUCGUAGGCGGUCUGUCGCGUCGGCUGUGAAAACUCGGGGCUCAACCCCGAGCCUGCAGUCGAUACGGGCAGACUAGAGUGCGGUAGGGGAGACUGGAAUUCCUGGUGUAGCGGUGAAAUGCGCAGAUAUCAGGAGGAACACCGGUGGCGAAGGCGGGUCUCUGGGCAACAACUGACGCUGAGGAGCGAAAGCGUGGGGAGCGAACAGG
rnacentral:rRNA from 1 species